rnacentral:pre_miRNA from 1 species
UGAGGUAGUGACUCAUUUUGUUUAGAACUACACCUUACCGAAGAACAGAGUGAGCCGCUAGCUUUCC